rnacentral:rRNA from 1 species
UACGUAGGGUGCGAGCGUUGUCCGGAAUUAUUGGGCGUAAAGGGCUCGUAGGCGGUCUGUCGCGUCGGGAGUGAAAACUCAGGGCUUAACCCUGAGCCUGCUUCCGAUACGGGCAGACUAGAGGUAUGCAGGGGAGAACGGAAUUCCUGGUGUAGCGGUGAAAUGCGCAGGAUAUCAGGAGGAACACCGGUGGCGAAGGCGGGUCUCUGGGCCGUAACUGACGCUGAGGAGCGAAAGCGUGGGGAGCGAACAGG